CCUACGGGAGGCAGCAGUGGGGAAUAUUGGACAAUGGGCGCAAGCCUGAUCCAGCCAUGCCGCGUGAGUGAUGAAGGCCUUAGGGUUGUAAAGCUCUUUCACCGGAGAAGAUAAUGACGGUAUCCGGAGAAGAAGCCCCGGCUAACUUCGUGCCAGCAGCCGCGGUAAU
rnacentral:rRNA from 5 species